UGAGGAAUAUUGGUCAAUGGGCGCAAGCCUGAACCAGCCAUCCCGCGUGCAGGAAGACGGCCCUAUGGGUUGUAAACUGCUUUUCCAGGGGGAGAAACUUACGUACGCGUUACGUAACUGACGGUACCCUGGGAAUAAGCAUCGGCUAACUCCGUGCCAGCAGCCGCGGUAAUACGGAGGAUGCAAGCGUUAUCCGGAUUCAUUGGGUUUAAAGGGUGCGUAGGCGGACUAUUAAGUCAGUGGUGAAAUCCUGCAGCUCAACUGUAGAACUGCCGUUGAUACUGAUAGUCUUGAGUUUGGUUAAGGUAGGCGGAAUGUGUAAUGUAGCGGUGAAAUGCUUAGAUAUUACACAGAACACCGAUUGCGUAGGCAGCUUACUGAGCCGACACUGACGCUGAGGCACGAAAGCGUGGGGAUCGAACAG
rnacentral:rRNA from 1 species